GGUCAGCUGACACAUCCCUGCCAAUCUCUGGCAGACCCUCCCUCCCAGACCCUCCCACCUCCUGGACAGCAUCCAUGUUGAAGCUGCCUUCAACAUGGAUGCUGUCCAGGAAGUAGGAGGGUCUGGGAGGGAGGGUCUGCCGGAGAUUGGCAGGGAUGUGUCAGCUG